rnacentral:rRNA from 1 species
GAUGAACGCUGGCGGCGUGCCUAAUACAUGCAAGUCGAGCGAACAGACGAGGAGCUUGCUCCUCUGACGUUAGCGGCGGACGGGUGAGUAACACGUGGAUAACCUACCUAUAAGACUGGGAUAACUUCGGGAAACCGGAGCUAAUACCGGAUAAUAUAUUGAACCGCAUGGUUCAAUAGUGAAAGUCGGUUUUGCGGUCACUUAAAGAUUGACCCGGGCCGCAUUAACUAGUUGGUACGGUAACGGCUUACCAAGGCAACGAUGCGUACCCGACCCGAGAGGGUGAUCGGACAGCCGGGCACUGAGACACGGUCCAGACUCCUGCGGGAGGCCGCAGUAGGGAAUCUUCCGCGAUGGGCGAGAGCCUGACGGAGCAACGCCGCGGGAGUGAUGAAGGUCUUCGGAUCGUAAAACUCUGUAAUUAGGAGAGUACUAAUGUGUAAGUAACUAUGAACAUAUUGACGGUACCGAGUCAGAAAGCCACGGCUAACUCCGUG